rnacentral:rRNA from 1 species
UGAGGAAUAUUGGUCAAUGGGCGCGAGCCUGAACCAGCCAAGUAGCGUGAAGGAUGAAGGUCCUAUGGAUUGUAAACUUCUUUUAUAGCAGAAUAAAGUGACCCACGUGUGGGUUUUUGUAUGUAUGCUAUGAAUAAGGAUCGGCUAACUCCGUGCCAGCAGCCGCGGUAAUACGGAGGAUCCGAGCGUUAUCCGGAUUUAUUGGGUUUAAAGGGUGCGUAGGCGGAAAGAUAAGUCAGCCUGUGAAAGUUUGCGGCUCAACCGUAAAAUUGCAGUUGAUACUGUUUUUCUUGAGUGUACAUAAGGUAGGCGGAAUUCGUGGUGUAGCGGUGAAAUGCUUAGAUAUCACGAAGAACUCCAAUUGCGAAGGCAGCUUACCGGGGUACAACUGACGCUGAUGCACGAAAGUGUGGGUAUCAAACA